rnacentral:siRNA from 1 species
UGGCCGACGUACCAGAUGAUUCCC